GACGAACGCUGGCGGCGUGCUUAACACAUGCAAGUCGAACGGUAAGGCCCCUUCGGGGGUACACGAGUGGCGAACGGGUGCGUAACACGUGAGCAACCUGCCCUUGACUCUGGAAUAACAGUUGGAAACAGCUGCUAAUACUGGAUAUUCAUCGUCUCCUUCCUGGGGGGUGGUGGAAAGCUCCGGCGGUCAGGGAUGGGCUCGCGGCCUAUCAGCUUGUUGGUGAGGUAAUGGCUCACCAAGGCUUCGACGGGUAGCCGGCCUGAGAGGGCGACCGGCCACACUGGGACUGAGAUACGGCCCAGACUCCUACGGGAGGCAGCAGUGGGGAAUAUUGCACAAUGGGUGCAAGCCUGAUGCAGCAACGCCGCGUGCGGGAUGACGGCCUUCGGGUUGUAAACCGCUUUCAGUAGGGACGAAGGGUGACUGACGGUACCUACAGAAGAAGGACCGGCUAACUACGUG
rnacentral:rRNA from 1 species